AGACCAGAACUAAAUAAUUGGCUCCACUUGGGCCACGAGCCUGCUGGCCUUCAGAAUGAGCUACACAUUGAAUUGGUUCUACUCUGCAGAACCCUGACUAACACGUCAGUCUGAGGGGAUGGUGCCUCUUCAGCAUCCAUUAGGGGGGCGUACGCUUCCCAAGUGACAACUACCUCCCUGCGUGCUGUUUACAAAGUGCUUCCGCAGAUGUCCAGUUUAAUUCCCACACACACCCUGAGAAGGAGGAACUUGUAUUCGCCCAGGAAAAUCGGGCAGAGGGUUUCCCUAUGCUCCUAGCCACCCUCCUCCCAUCAUGACCUCCCCCAUUAUGGAGAGCAGCAUCACCCAGACUCCAAGGGCCCGGCGUGUGCUUGAAUCCUUCAGUCCUCAGCUAUGUGGCUGGUCCAGCGGCCACUCCAGGAGGCAUUCAGUUGUUGGCUACACAGAUAAGACCAGAGAUGUGUACAUUUGCUACAAUUGCUGCACCAGGUGGCUCUAUAGGCAAAUGUUUCCAAUAUUCAAUGUACGCAAGGACUAGGAGAUCCCUAAGGUCCUACCAGCCUCAUCACUGUGCCAUCAAGACCCUUGCAUACUUCAGCUCCUCCGAUAUUAGAGGAGCCCCAGUGACUGAAAAUGGAGAAGGAAAUGGCAAUAGACUCCAGUAUUCUUGCCUGGACAAUUCCAUGGACAGAGGAGCCUGGCGGGCUACAGUCCACGGGGUCGCAGGGAGUUGAACACAACUUGAGAGUACACGCAACAAGUGACUGAAAAAGCAACACUGUAGCUUGCUGUAGCUUGACUGCAUUAGGUCACUAUCGUUCCCAGCUGGGGGUGGGGUGAGGUGGGUAUUAGCUUUACCAGCAAUGGCUUUCCUGCCUUCUCCAUCUGGUGACUUUGCAAAUUAAGGACCAUGCCCCCUUCCCAAAGAUGUCCGCUUCUCAGCCACCCUGUCUUGUGAGCAGAACUGAGCCCUCUUGAGUGUGGGGCACCUGGGACGAAUGAUGGAAAUGUUUCUACCUGAGCCCUUGGCAUUAUGAGGGCAGGUGGGUUCCGAAAAGGCCACACUGGGACUGUUUUCUUUGGUGGCCAAAGUCACUUUCUCCCAGGAAAAUCCAGGCUGACUCCAUGCAAGCAUCUGACCGUGAGUCCUCCUGCCUUUGGACACUUGGCUGGGAUAGACUCUCUCCAGCAGGAUGCCCAUCAAGCAAGUUGAGUGACAUCUUCCUUUCUUUUUACCUCCUCCAGCCUCUUCUUAAUGGCAGCAGCAGACGGGUACUGACACCAGCUCCCUGACACCCUGUCAGACUUGCUGAACAAGUGUGGGACAGGCAGGCCCAGGGAAAUCGUGGUAUUUUUAGACCCUGGCUUGUGGAAACUUUUUCUCCAGGUUGUGAUGUUUCUGAUAACCUCUGCUUACUCUAAAGGACUCAACUAUCUUUAUCUCUGUAGAAAAAGAGGAUUGAAGAGUCCAAAGCUACCUUCAAGACCAUCCUCUUCAAGCCUGUGACAUUUCCAGGGAGAGAGGUCCCCCAGUGCCAGCCUGACCCUGUCCCUCGCCCCCAAGUCUCUUUCCCAUGUGGUCAAGAGUGAUCUUUCAGAACAGUAAGCUGAGCUCAUCACACCCCCGCUUAAAGUCCUUCAGAAGCUCCUCCUAACACUGGGAUACAGUGGGUUCUCCUCUACCAAUACCCCAAAUCCUGCAUUACCUGGGCCCUGCUGGAAGCCUCUUCACUAUAAAUGCACUUACUGUAAUUUUCCAAGCAGAUUAUGUUCCUCUGAGCUUCCUUGCGUUUGCUCUUGCUGGUCUUUCUGUUCGGAACGCCAUCACUGCACCUGUCCACUCGCCUUCUAGGCUAAGCUUGAAGGAUGUCUCUUUCUGAAAGUGUUUUCUGGCCCUCCCGUCCCCCACCAGCCAAGACCCUGGGACGGAGCCGAGGCUCUUUCUCCACGUUUCUGUAUCAUUAGACAUGCCUCCUGUGUGGCAACUGGGAUCUGAAAUGUCUGUUUCAAGUCUAUCUUCCCCUUUUCAACUCUGAGCUCCCUAAGGUCAAGGGCUUGGUUUUUCAACUCUCAUAUCCUGUGCUUGGGGCAUAAUUGACCUUCAGAAAAAGUUUGUUCAAUAAGUGAUGCAAAUGAGCAGAUGAAUGAAGCCUCUGACCUAAGG
ensembl:lncRNA